rnacentral:lncRNA from 1 species
CCAACAGAUUACAAGUGUCAAAUCUCAUUAACACGUUCACAAUGUGGUCAUAAUUCUCAUGUCUUGCUGCUGGGCAGCUUUGAAUCACAGUGGUACAAGCCAGCAGGAACAUCUUAAAGAGCUUCUUGAUACCUGAACUUAUGAGCUCUGAAAAUGAUAUUAUGUUGACAUAUAAAGCACUCCUUUAAUGUAUAUCACUUUAUAGGACUAGGAUAAAUAUUUUAACUAAAAAUACUAUAUUUUUUAAGGUGCUAUGUAGCAUCAAUUCAAUUAUUCACAAUCCAAGAGCUCCAGUGAUAAUUUAUAAACAGAGCAAAGAAGGAACCCAACAUUUUAACAAAGAUUUUGUUCAAGACUGUGGAUUUGAACAUCUUGUUCCUAUAAUAGAAAUGUGGGCAGAUGAACUGACAUCCUUGAAGUUUCUUUUGUUUUAAAGGAUUUGUAUAAGUCCUUGAAAAUACUAUCUGCAGACCUGGUGCCUUGGCAUAAUUUUAAGAAACAGGAUGAAAAUGAAGGUGUCAGAGUUGAAAAUUUGUUGUUUAUGGUAGAUACCAUAUUGGAAGAAGUUGAAAAUAAGGAAAAGGUAAUACUAAAUGUUCACACUUUAAAGUUUUUAAUAAACUAUUUGGGAUUAUGUUAAGAUGUGAACUUUUUUACUUCUUCUGAACAGGACAGCAACAUGCCAAACUUUCAAACUUUGCAAGCUAUUGUCUCUCACUUCCAAAAAUUAUUUGAUGUGCCUUCUUUAAAUGGAGUCUAUCCCCGAAUGAAUGAAGUUUAUACUAGGCUUGGAGAAAUGAACAAUGCUGUGAGAAACCUCCAAGAACUCUUAGAAUUAGAUAGUUCAUCUUCAUUGUGUGUACUGGUAAGCACAGUUGGAAAAUUGUGUAGGCUGAUUAAUGAGGAUGUGAGUGAGCAGGUUAAGCAAGUAUUAGGACCUGAAGACCUCCAAAGCAUUAUCAACAAAUUGGAAGAACAUGAAGAAUUUUUCCCAGCAUUUCAGGCAUUUACUAAUGAUCUACUUAAAAUCUUAGGAGAAGAAAUGAGGCUUGGUAGUAGGAAGAUAAGGGAAUGAUUAAAUUCAAACUUGAAAUUGAUGACUUGGAUGCCAUUGUACCUGCAGUAAAGAAAUUAAAAGUACUUUCAUACUGAAACAAAUCAAAUCAUUUUAGUAUGUAAAGUGCAUUUUUACCAUUCUAAAUAUUAUGUAGGAUUGAUCUUGAAACAAAGAGUAUAACAUAUAUUUGCUUUCAGAAUUCAUCCUCUUAGUACUGGGUGAUUCUCCUUAUAAUUUUUUAUUAACUUUGAGAUUCUUUUACAAAAAUUAGCUGCUCAGUUAAAAUAGUAAAUUAACUUUAGAUCCCUUAAUCAUUUUGUAAGCAAUUCUUGAGUGCUUAAAAUGUAGGGUAGAGUUUGUGAGUAAAAGACCCAGGGAGAGUGUAAGUAAUAGAAAAAUUGUAUUUAAGUUCAAGGUUUACUCACCUUUGGGUCAGGGCAAAAGGAAUGUCAAGUCCAGUCAGUCGUAAGCUACUGCUUUCCUGGCAAGGAUUAAUUGGCAUAUUCCAUUAAGAUAUCCCUCAUGGCAGUUAUCUUUUCAGAAGGAGAAAGAAAAAAAGAAAAAAAAGUUUUAUCUGUUAGGAUAGGAAGUGAAUCAUGGGAUAAAAUAGAUGAGUAGAUAGAAGUCCCUCUUUUUUAAAAAAAUGUCUCUUUUGCAAUCUUGAUGUAAUGUGCUUUUUAUAAGGGGAUAUGAUCUCAAAUAAAAUUUUUGUAAAACAAUUUCCAAACAUAAGUGUCCUUAGUGGCUUAUUUGUAUUAUUUACAAAUAAUGAGUCAUAUUCUGCCUAGGCUGAGUGUUUCUUGGGCAACUGGUU